UGUUUUCCUUUCCUUUGGGUAGGAAAGCCAUCGAGGUGACUAAGCCCUGAGUAAACAGUAUUCCUGGCCUCCCUCCUCCAGGCCGGGUGGGGCCAUCACUAUUUCAGGAUCAAACUCGGGCACAUCCCUCAGCCACCACCUUCGCACGGUUACCUCUCUGGGUUUGUUCCUCCAGCAGCGCCGUUCCUGAUCAGUGGCUCUUGAACCUCCUGGGGGAACUGCGGAAUCUCCGGAGCUGCCCGCCUGCCCAGCAGCACCUUCAGCAGCCUCUGGCCGGGCUUUCCUGCCACGGCACCAGGAGCCAGGGCAGGGUCUGAGCUGUGGGAGCCAGUGGGGAGAUGAGGCAGCUCCUACCCAGGACACAGAGCCUCAUGGGGCAGUCUGGGAUUCGCUGCCUUCCUCGUACUCAAGACCUGACACCCACCUAGGGGUCUUCAUCUCCGUUCCAGAUACCAGUCAAGCAGUGCACUCGCCCCUUGCUGGGGACCUCCGUCCUUUCAUAUUCACAGAGAGAUGAAGCGUACUCUGCCAUCGUCUGAAAAUUGGGUUUUGUGUGUGAAGUUGAGACAUAUUGAGAUGUCUGGUUACUGGCUGAAUCCUUAGUAAAGUGAACAGUCACUCCUAAUCUUUUAUAAAUGUU